rnacentral:rRNA from 1 species
AGAGUUUGAUCCUGGCUCAGGACGAACGCUGGCGGCGUGCUUAACACAUGCAAGUCGAACGGAAAGGCCCUUCGGGGUACUCGAGUGGCGAACGGGUGAGUAACACGUGGGUGAUCUGCCCUGCACUUUGGGAUAAGCCUGGGAAACUGGGUCUAAUACCGAAUAUGACCACGCUCUUCAUGGGGUGUGGUGGAAAGCUUUUGCGGUGUGGGAUGGGCCCGCGGCCUAUCAGCUUGUUGGCGGGGUAAUGGCCUACCAAGGCGACGACGGGUAGCCGGCCUGAGAGGGUGACCGGCCACACUGGGACUGAGAUACGGCCCAGACUCCUACGGGAGGCAGCAGUGGGGAAUAUUGCACAAUGGGCGCAAGCCUGAUGCAGCGACGCCGCGUGAGGGAUGACGGCCUUCGGGUUGUAAACCUCUUUCACCAGGGACGAAGCGCAAGUGACGGUACCUGGAGAAGAAGCACCGGCCAACUACGUGCCAGCAGCCGCGGUAAUACGUAGGGUGCGAGCGUUGUCCGGAAUUACUGGGCGUAAAGAGCUCGUAGGUGGUUUGUCGCGUUGUUCGUGAAAACUCACAGCUUAACUGUGGGCGUGCGGGCGAUACGGGCAGACUAGAGUACUGCAGGGGAGACUGGAAUUCCUGGUGUAGCGGUGGAAUGCGCAGAUAUCAGGAGGAACACCGGUGGCGAAGGCGGGUCUCUUGGCAGUAACUGACGCUGAGGAGCGAAAGCGUGGGGAGCGAACAGGAUUAGAUACCCUGGUAGUCC